GAAAUGCUUGACAGGUCCAGAAUGUUGUCAGUAGGGGACGACGAAGGAACAGCAGAAACACCCUUCCCUUUCCCAAUGGGAGGAAGAGGUGGGGAAGGACCCACAGCAGUCCGGGAUUUUUUCCGAGCAGGAGAUGGGACAGGCGUUCCAGAAGGGGUCGGACGCUUGCCCCCAGUCUUUGAGGGGACACCCUCAGAUCCCUCAGGCUCAGUCCUCACAGGGGCAGGGGCACCUUCACCAGAAACCUCCGGGCUUUGAUCCUCUAGGAGGAUGAUCUCCAUCCCUGUCCCAGAGGUCUCCUUAUCUUCAACAGGGGACUUAAAUUUCCCCCCUAACACCUCCUCAGUAGAAUGGACGGCACCCUGCCCCACUUGUUCAGUAGC
rnacentral:lncRNA from 1 species